CUUUCCUAAUUUAUUUCUAGAUUUUAAAUUUUUUGUAGACUAUAAUUUUGAUAUUAUUUGUCUCACUAGUAGUACACUACACUGUAAACAUCUGUUUGAGAUAGAGCAGGUGCGAUUUUCUAAUUUGAAUUUAUUGUCUAAAAGAAAUGCUCUACGAAUUAACUGUGUUCAAAGUUUAUAUUGUGCAGUGUUUGUUAGCUUUAUGUUGUCAUAUUUUUAGUUCAUGCAGACGAGUCUGUUGGUUUUCUCUUUUGAAUUGUAUUUUGUUAUCACCGUUUUUUUUUCUUUUUAUGUCUUACUAUUUUCUAGGUGUUUCGCUCAUAGUUGAAGGUCAUACGUUCGGUCUGAUGUUGUUGAUAUUCAUAUCCUUUGGUCUUUGUGGAAAAUUUGUAUCCGAUGAUAAUGGACAUUUUCUUUAAAGAGUAAUCAUUCUUAGGUGUUAGGCCUUGUAAAUUAUAUAUAGGUAAUUCUUACGUUUUUGUGCUGCAUCGUGGUUGAAACAUUUGUCUUGUAAUCCAGGAAUAACAGAACAUCCUUUCCAAAGUCCAUAAUAAUAAGUUUCCAAUCCAUAUUUUGUCACGUGACGCUCAUAAUACCAGUACGGCAUUGUUAUUCCAAUUAAAUGACAGAGAAUACCCAAAACGGAAAUUAUCCCACAAGCUCGAGAAUCGUAAAACUUUCGAUGUGUUCUAGCUGUACAUGUCAUCUUUAAGGAAGUCCUAGACUUGUAAGAGACUCUGAAAGACUGAUAAGCAAAUCGUCAAAGACUCCAGCAAGAAACUCGUCAUAGACUGAUAAAAGACUCGUCAUAGACUCGUCAUAGACCAGGAAGAGACUCGUCAAAACUGGUAAAAGACUCGUCCGUCAUAGACCAGGAAGAGACUCGUCAAAACUGGUAAAAGACUCGUCCGUCAUAGACUGGCAAGCAAAACUAACCAGUACAUUUAAA
rnacentral:lncRNA from 1 species